rnacentral:rRNA from 1 species
AUUGAACGCUGGCGGCAUGCUUUACACAUGCAAGUCGAACGGUAACAGGGAGCUUGCUCCGCUGACGAGUGGCGAACGGGUGAGUAAUGCGUCGGAACGUGCCGAGUAGUGGGGGAUAACGCAGCGAAAGUUGUGCUAAUACCGCAUACGUACUGAGGUAGAAAGUGGGGGACCUUCGGGCCUCACGCUAUUCGAGCGGCCGACGUCUGAUUAGCUAGUAGGUGAGGUAAAGGCUCACCUAGGCGAAGAUCAGUAGCGGGUCUGAGAGGAUGAGCGGCCACACUGGGACUGAGACACGGCCCAGACGCCUACGGGAGGAAGCAGUGGGGAAUUUUGGACAAUGGGCGAAAGCCUGAUCCAGCCAUGCCGCGUGUCUGAAGAAGGCCUUCGGGUUGUAAAGGACUUUUGUCGGGGAGGAAAUCCCCAGCGUUAAUACCGCUGGGGGAUGACAGUACCUGAAGAAUAAGCACCGGCUAACUACGUGCCAGCAGCCGCAGUAACAC